ACUCAAAUGAAUUGACGGGGGCCCGCACAAGCGGUGGAGUAUGUGGUUUAAUUCGAAGCAACGCGCAGAACCUUACCUGGUCUUGACAUUGUGAGACAUCCGCAGAGAUGCGGCUUUCCCUUCGGGGACUCAUAAACAGGUGCUGCAUGGCUGUCGUCAGCUCGUGUUGUGAAAUGUUCGGUUAAGUCCGGCAACGAGCGCAACCCCUGUUCUUAGUUACCAGCAUUAAGUUGGGGACUCUAGGAAGACUGCCGGUGUUAAACCGGAGGAAGGCGGGGAUGACGUCAAGUCCUCAUGGCCCUUACGACCAGGGCUACACACGUACUACAAUGGUGGAAACAAAGAGUCGCAAACCGGCGACGGCAAGCUAAUCUCAAAAACACCAUCUCAGUCCGGAUUGAAGUCUGCAACUCGACUUCAUGAAGUUGGAAUCGCUAGUAAUCGCAGAUCAGCACGCUGCGGUGAAUACGUUCCCGGGCCUUGUACACACCGCCCGU
rnacentral:rRNA from 1 species